UCUUCUAUAAGGUGAAGGGGCACUGACAACUUAAGUAUUAUAUAUGUAUCAUAGUUUCCGUGAUAUUGAUGAUAAUUCAGCAACAACAGCAAAACUGAUUAUUAUAUUGAAGUAAAUACAUUAUGGGCAUGAAACAUAAGGUAUAGUACAUUAUAUACAUACAACUAUAGGGCAUAAAAUAUAGAAAGGUGGUAUAUAAUGGGAACAUGAAAACUGGAAAGGUCCACUGGUACAAUAAUUGGACAAUAAUGGAAGAAGCUUACUGAGGAUUUGAUAUCAAAUUUGUGCAAGAAAAUAAGGAGAAUAUACGAACCUCAAACAAUCAAACAAUAAAGGAAUGGAUUCUUAAGAGUACAUGAAAAUGUCUAACAUUAAGUGUAAUUUAUAGUAAAUCUAAGCUGUGAGUUGUCGUAUGAAGC